ensembl:lncRNA novel transcript, antisense to C7orf33 and CNTNAP2
CUCUUUACACUCGAAUAUCCCCAGCUCUAGGAGGACGCAAAGGUUCCAGCUUUCAAGCCAGGACUCUAAAGUUGGUGCUGAAGGCAAUCUCGGCUGCCUUCAAAUCUUUUCUGUGUCCAAACUCCAGGUAGCAGCUGGCAACAAACUUGCUAAUUAUCUACCUGUGUAUUUAACGAUGCUUGUUGAGUUGCAGCCUUGAGGUUGCUCCAAGUAGCAGACCAGGCAAGUCCACGAAGGAAUGAUUCUGUUGUGAACAAGAACAAGAUCUCUUUGAAUGUCGUCCCCAGUGGCUCGCCUGGAGGCAGGUGAGAACCAGGUGCCCUCUGGGUUUCAAGAAAUAAAACGUUGUAUCUGUUUGCUCGGGAUGCCAUAACAAAGGACCACAGACUGGGGGGUUUAAACAGCAGAAGUUUACUUUCUCACAGUACUGGAGGCUGGAAGUCUGAGGUCAAGGUGCUGGCGGUGUCGGUUUCUCCUGAGCCCUCUCUCUUUUGCCGUCCGCUGUGUGGCUGUGGUCUUUAAGUUGGAGUCUGUGGAGACAAAGAGGGAGGUCUUGCUGUGCCUGACCCUCUGGGAUGUGUUACCACCCACGCCGACCUGCUCUCUGCGGCUUUCUGACAGCACCUCACAGCCCUGGAACUGGAAAUGUGGCUCUCACUGAAGCUGCCCAGAGAGAGGGUCUCUCAGUGAAGACCCCCUGUUGUCAGCUGGGGCAGCCGGAAAGAAAGACUGGGAAUUCUCUUCACACAGGAUUUGAUAUGCUUGGUGGCUCCAGAAAAAUGCAAGUGUGCACAUUCAUCCACUUGACAAAGGGUGACUUAACUGUCAGUGUCCUGUGGAUUCAAACUGAAAGGGUUUGGGCGAAAGAAAGAAGAAGGUGGGACUGCGAAUAAAUUGAAAACAGCAUUUUGGAGGCAACAGCUGUGAAACAGAAGGGAAGGAAAAUUUAUGACCAUAUACAUUUCAGUAGGAAUUUAUAACUUUUUAUGAACAUUAUCUUAAAGUUAGUCUCUAGACAUAGGUCUAAAAAUAAAAUUAUGCUGAACUGUGUACCCAGAGAAUGGUAAAUGGGAAUAACGUUCUUGAAAGGGAUGACGUAGGUCCAGGGAAAGGUCACAUUGAAUAAUCAAGGUCGGUGAAGGUCAAAAUCACAAAGAAGGACCCUGCAUUCACUCCUGUCCUGAUGGCAGCUUCAGUGGAAACCCUUGGCCAUCGCUUUGCCUCUCCAAGCAUUCGAGAAAGACCGUCUGGUGCCAUAUUGUCUUCUGGGGACAGCUGAUCACCUGGGGAGAGCUGCAUCGUGCUCCUACCCGUGUCAGAUCUGGGCAGAGGACAGACAAAAGUCCUCUGGAGUUUUCCGCAGUGAGAGUCACAGAAGUUCAUCUAAGGAAUUGGAGCCAAGGUUAGAAACUUCUCUGGAGAUGUUCUAGUUUUGUUUGCUAGCUCGGCAGCUGCGUAAUGACACUCCCUCCAGCAGGGCACAUAGUUCACUUCAAAUGACAAAUGGUGGGACCUUAGUAUUUUUCACUGUCGGUUAAUUAUCAGAAAUAGAUUUGUUGCUAUCUAGAUACCAGCCAUUUGUCCAAAUUACUAGGAUAAGAUUCCCAAGAAAGCCUGAAAUCAGAUAGCUUUCUCCUCCUUAUUUUAAAAUAAACAGAAAUAAAAUUA